rnacentral:rRNA from 1 species
AUACGUAGGUGACAAGCGUUAUCCGGAUUUACUGGGCGUAAAGGGCGUGUAGGCGGUCUUGCAAGUCAGAAGUGAAAUUCCUGAGCUCAACUCGGGCGCUGCUUCUGAAACUGCAGGCCUUGAGUGCUGGAGGGGAUAGCGGAAUUCCUAGUGGAGCGGUAAAAUGCGCAGAUAUUAGGAGGAACACCAGUGGCGAAGGCGGCUUACUGGACUGUAACUGACACUGAGGCACGAAAGCGUGGGGAGCAAACAGGAUUAGAUACCCUGGUAGUCCACGCUGUAAACGAUGAAUACUAGGUGUAGGGGGUGUCAACUCCCUCUGUGCCGCAGCAAACGCAAUAAGUAUUCCGCCUGGGGAGUACGGCCGCAAGGUUGAAACUUAAAGGAAUUGACGGGG